AGUCAGCCCAUUUCCUGGCUGGUUGCAGGGAACUCUUCUCUGCUGUCCGUUGGCGAUGUGAUCUCUAGGAUGUCCUUUACACUGUCUGGAACUCGGUUUUAUUAUCUAAAAGGAAACUGAAACACAGUGGAACUUGCCCAAGGAGCAGUGGGAAGGGAUGCGGAGUCAGAGCCCAUCAUGUCGUCAGAAAUAAUACUUCGUUGGGGCAGCUGCUGGAGAAAUUCAAAUCCAAAGGAGGCCUAGGGAAUCCUGGGAUAACCAUCACAG